rnacentral:rRNA from 1 species
AUACGUAGGGGGCGAGCGUUGUCCGGAAUGAUUGGGCGUAAAGGGCGCGUAGGCGGCCCGGUAAGUCUGGAGUGAAAGUCCUGCUUUUAAGGUGGGAAUUGCUUUGGAUACUGUCGGGCUUGAGUGCAGGAGAGGUAAGUGGAAUUCCCAGUGUAGCGGUGAAAUGCGUAGAGAUUGGGAGGAACACCAGUGGCGAAGGCGACUUACUGGACUGUAACUGACGCUGAGGCGCGAAAGUGUGGGGAGCAAACAGGAUUAGAUACCCUGGUAGUCCACACUGUAAACGAUGAAUGCUAGGUGUAGGGGGUAUCGACCCCUUCUGUGCCGCAGUUAACACAAUAAGCAUUCCGCCUGGGGAGUACGGCCGCAAGAAUGAAACUCAAAUGAAUUGACGGGG